rnacentral:rRNA from 1 species
GACGAACGCUGGCGGCGUGCUUAACACAUGCAAGUCGAACGGUAAGGCCCUUCGGGGUACACGAGUGGCGAACGGGUGAGUAACACGUGGGUGAUCUGCCCUGCACUUCGGGAUAAGCCUGAGAAACUGGGUCUAAUACCGGAUAGGACCAAUGCCUGCAUGGGUGGUGGUGGAAAGCUUUUGCGGUGUGGGAUGGGCCCGCGGCCUAGCAGCUUGUUGGUGGGGUGAUGGGCUACCAAGGCGACGACGGGUAGCCGGCAUGAGAGGGUGACCGGCCACACUGGGACUGAGAUACGGCCCAGACUCCUACGGGGGGCAGCAGUGGGGAAUAUUGCACAAUGGGCGCAAGCCUGAUGCAGCGACGCCGCGUGAGGGAUGACGGCCUUCGGGUUGUAAACCUCUUUCAGCACCGACGAAGCGCAAGUGACGGUAGGUGCAGAAGAAGGACCGGCCAACUACGUGCCAGCCGCCGCCGUAA